rnacentral:ncRNA from 1 species
UAAGCGGAAUCGAAAGGCUCCGUUGAGCGCACAGGAGUCAGCAGAAGCCAUAGUACGCAAGUAUGGGACGCCGGAAAGCGGAAGGGC